GCCGGGUGUGGUGGCGCACGCCUGUAGUCCCAGCUACUUGGGAGGCUGAGGCAGGAGAAUCACUUGAACCCAGGAGGUGGAGGUUGCAGUGAGCCAAGAUUGCACCACUGCACUCCAUCCUGGGUGACAGUGAGACUCUGCCUCAA
rnacentral:SRP_RNA from 2 species